rnacentral:lncRNA from 1 species
UACAUGUUAGUUUUUGUUUCGGUAAUAAUCCAACAGAUAACUACCAAUGCAACUUUUCAGUAUAAUAUUUAGAAAAGACAUCUGAAUUGAUAAUUAAAGAACAUCGAUGAAGCAGGUGAUAAUACGCAGAUACGCCAAUUUGAUUACAGACAAACAUCCACAGUUCGAUUGAUUUGAAUGCUUGAUUUUAACAUGAAUAUAUUCUGAACUUUUCUCCAUGUGAA